rnacentral:rRNA from 1 species
AGAGUUUGAUUAUGGCUCAGGAUGAACGCUAGCUACAGGCUUAACACAUGCAAGUCGAGGGGCAGCAUUGGAGUAGCAAUACUCAGAUGGCGACCGGCGCACGGGUGAGUAACACGUAUCCAACCUGCCGCUUACUCGGGGAUAGCCUUUCGAAAGAAAGAUUAAUACCCGAUGGUAUAAAGAGUUCGCAUGUUCUCUUUAUUAAAGAAUUUCGGUAAGCGAUGGGGAUGCGUUCCAUUAGAUAGUUGGCGGGGUAACGGCCCACCAAGUCUACGAUGGAUAGGGGUUCUGAGAGGAAGGUCCCCCACAUUGGAACUGAGACACGGUCCAAACUCCUACGGGAGGCAGCAGUGAGGAAUAUUGGUCAAUGGACGAGAGUCUGAACCAGCCAAAAGUAGCGUGAAGGAUGACUGCCCUAUGGGUUGUAAACUUCUUUUAUAAGGGAAUAAAGUGAGGGACGUGUCCCUUUUUGUAUGUACCUUAUGAAUAAGGAUCGGCUAACUCCGUGCCAGCCGCCGC